ensembl:ncRNA T01A4.8 ncRNA
AAAAGUUUUGGCAAAGUCGUCGUCGGUCGGUCGGUCAGCCAUUCAUAUAUCCGGUUUCUACUCUUUUUUCCGAGCAUAUA